ACAUGCGUUGCUAAGACAAAUAUCAGCAGUUUGCGCAAAACCAUCAUUCAGAGAACGUGUAUUCAAGAUUAUCAUAAUUGAGUAUUUGAAUAUUACCAACUAAAUAUGGGAUUCAAUGAAGAAUGGAAAGUCACUUUUAGUAUCAUCAAUGCGUUAUUUACGCCUGUGCUUAUUAGGGUAAUAUGGGGAAAGGACACACUAUAUCAUCUAGAUUAUCCACGUCCUUUACUUUUAUUUACUUAUUUACUUUGCCUUAUCGCGCUAUCGAUCAAUGUACAUUUAAAUAUGCUCAAUUUUGAACGCACAUUUAAGACGAAUCGUAGAUUAUUUUUAACAAUUUUCUCCUGCUCGAUCUUUAUGUAUUCAUUGUUCUCUACAUUACUUGGGCGAGUAAUUUUAUAUACAAUGAUAACAAAGUUAUUUCUCAUUGUUGUCAUAAUCUACUUUGUUGUUUCGUCUCUUAUCGUUUUUUUGAUACACAUGGAUUUUCAAAAGAAUCAAAACACGGUGUUUGAUACUGAAAUGACUACCAUCGAAACGAUACCAGAGUAAUGAGAGAUCUGAUAUCGAUACUAAAUAUCUUUGAAGAAUUUCUUAUUAAGUACUUACUCAACGCUCAAUGCUCAACUACCUCAGAAGAUUUAAAGUAGACUUUUAUCUAAAAUAUCUAGUGAUGCGAGUUAUUUUUAUUACUGUAAAAUGUUGUAUGUUUCAACGAAAAUCUAGUCAAAUAUAUUAAAAAUUUAUAUUA